UGGCUCAGACGGUAAAGCGUCUGCCUGCAAUGCAGGAGACCCGGGUUCAAUUCCUGG
rnacentral:tRNA from 1 species